rnacentral:snRNA from 1 species
GCGCUUGCUUCGGCAGCACAUAAACUGAAAUAGGAAGGAUGCAGAGGUGAGCAUGGCCCUGGCAAAGGGAUGACAUGCAGGUUUUUGAAGCAAAAAUAAAAAAA